GUACGCUUCAAAUCAAGUUUUACCUGAUGGGAAAAAGUUCAUUGUUGUUGGCGGGAGGUAUCAAUUCAAUUAUGAGUUCAUCCCUAAAACCUCUAGUUCUGAUCAAACACUUUACCAACUUCCAUUUCUGAAAGAAACCAGAUAUUCUCCCCUGAUUCCAAACAAUCUUUACCCUUUCCUACACCUCUCUGCUGAUGGAAAUCUCUUCGUUUUCGCCAAUGACCGAGCAAUUCUACUUGACUAUGUCAACAACAAAGUGGUCAAAAA
rnacentral:misc_RNA from 1 species